UACAGAGGGUGCGAGCGUUAAUCGGAAUUACUGGGCGUAAAGCGCACGUAGGCGGCUUGGUAUGUCGGGUGUGAAAUCCCCGGGCUCAACCUGGGAACUGCAUCCGAAACUGCCUUGCUCGAGUAUGGGAGAGGGAAGUGGAAUUUCCGGUGUAGCGGUGAAAUGCGUAGAUAUCAGGAAGAACACCAAUGGCGAAGGCAGCUCUCUGGGACGGUACUGACGCUGAGACGCGAAAGCGUGGGGAGCGAACAGG
rnacentral:rRNA from 1 species